rnacentral:rRNA from 1 species
GGGUUGUGAGGUUAAGCGACUAAGCGUACACGGUGGAUGCCCUGGCAGUCAGAGGCGAUGAAGGGCGUGCUAAUCUGCGAUAAGCGCCGGUAAGGUGAUAUGAACCGUUAUAACCGGCGAUACCCGAAUGGGGAAACCNGAAACAUCUUCGGGUUGUGAGGUUAAGCGACUAAGCGUACACGGUGGAUGCCCUGGCAGUCAGAGGCGAUGAAGGGCGUGCUAAUCUGCGAUAAGCGCCGGUAAGGUGAUAUGAACCGUUAUAACCGGCGAUACCCGAAUGGGGAAACCCAGUGUGAYUCGUCACACUAUCAUUAACUGAAUCCAUAGGUUAAUGAGGCGAACCGGGGGAACUGAAACAUCUAAGUACCCCGAGGAAAAGAAAUCAACCGAGAUUCCCCCAGUAGCGGCGAGCGAACGGGGAGGAGCCCAGAGCCUGAAUCAGCAUGNUCGUCACACUAUCAUUAACUGAAUCCAUAGGUUAAUGAGGCGAACCGGGGGAACUGAAACAUCUAAGUACCCCGAGGAAAAGAAAUCAACCGAGAUUCCCCCAGUAGCGGCGAGCGAACGGGGAGGAGCCCAGAGCCUGAAUCAGCAUGUGUGUUAGUGGAAGCGUCUGGAAAGGCGCGCGAUACAGGGUGACAGCCCCGUACACAAAAGCGCAUGUGCUGUGAGCUCGAUGAGUAGGGCGGGACACGUGGUAUCCUGUCUGAAUAUGGGGGGACCAUCCUCCAAGGCUAAAUACUCCUGACUGACCGAUAGUGAACCAGUACCGUGAGGGAAAGGCGAAAAGAACCCCGGCGAGGGGAGUGAAAAAGAACCUGAAACCGUGUACGUACAAGCAGUGGGAGC